GAUCGAUGGGAGCUUGCUCCCUGAGAUUAGCGGCGGACGGGUGAGUAACACGUGGGCAACCUGCCUAUAAGACUGGGAUAACUUCGGGAAACCGGAGCUAAUACCGGAUACGUUCUUUUCUCGCAUGAGAGAAGAUGGAAAGACGGUUUACGCUGUCACUUAUAGAUGGGCCCGCGGCGCAUUAGCUAGUUGGUGAGGUAAUGGCUCACCAAGGCGACGAUGCGUAGCCGACCUGAGAGGGUGAUCGGCCACACUGGGACUGAGACACGGCCCAAACUCCUACGGGAGGCAGCAGUAGGGAAUCUUCCGCAAUGGACGAAAGUCUGACGGAGCAACGCCGCGUGAACGAAGAAGGCCUUCGGGUCGUAAAGUUCUGUUGUUAGGGAAGAACAAGUACCAGAGUAACUGCUGGUACCUUGACGGUACCUAACCAGAAAGCCACGGCUAACUACGUGCCAGCAGCCGCGGUAAUACGUAGGUGGCAAGCGUUGUCCGGAAUUAUUGGGCGUAAAGCGCGCGCAGGUGGUUCCUUAAGUCUGAUGUGAAAGCCCACGGCUCAACCGUGGAGGGUCAUUGGAAACUGGGGAACUUGAGUGCAGAAGAGGAAAGUGGAAUUCCAAGUGUAGCGGUGAAAUGCGUAGAGAUUUGGAGGAACACCAGUGGCGAAGGCGACUUUCUGGUCUGUAACUGACACUGAGGCGCGAAAGCGUGGGGAGCAAACAGGAUUAGA
rnacentral:rRNA from 2 species